UCCCUGAUGGUCCGGCAGUUAGAACUAUGCAUUCCCAAUGUAGGGAGCCCAGGUUCAAUCCCUGGUCAAGGAA
rnacentral:tRNA from 1 species